rnacentral:rRNA from 1 species
GGCGGACGGGUGAGUAACGCGUGGGAAUUUGCCUUUCGGUGCGGGACAACCAAGGGAAACUUUGGCUAAUACCGCAUACGCCCUACGGGGGAAAGAUUUAUCGCCGAAAGAGAAGCCCGCGUCGGAUUAGCUUGUUGGUAGGGUAAUGGCCUACCAAGGCGACGAUCCGUAGCUGGUCUGAGAGGAUGACCAGCCACACUGGGACUGAGACACGGCCCAGACUCC